GGGAAGGAGGGACACAGUGGCUGUUGCCUCAAGUCAUCUCAUCAGCCUGAGCCAGAGCUGGGAGAAAAGACUGUGGCCUCUACGUUCUCCCCAGGCCUACUGGGGAGCAUGGUGGCCAGACUGAACCUAAGGGACACAGGAGGACCUCAGCACUUGGCAGCUAACAAGUUGAAGUUUACAGAUGACCUUCUAGGGUCCCAUGAGGAGAUACCUUUUAUGCAAGUCAAGUUGCUGGACACUGAAAGCCCCAUUUCCAGGUGCUCCCCAACCCUGACUCCAUAGUCUAGGAGACAAAUGUCCCUCGUCUCCCUCCUACCCCCUACCUGCUUGCUCACAAGCCCCUCUCCUCAAGCCUUCCAGGUCUUGCUCCUCUAUUCUUCAGCCCUUGGCAUCAGCACUGCCCCUGCCUCCCCAACUGGGGCCCCCAGCACCUGAGAAAGCAUCUCCAGAGUCUUACUUAUCAUGUGGGUUGUCACAACCAUCUACCUGUUUGCCUCUCCUCCUGGCCUAGGGACUCCUUAAAGACAGAUGGUACCAUGGCAACCUAGCCUCUGAGUGCACACUGAAUGAAUGAAUGAAUGAGUGAGUAAGGAAUGAAACCCAGUUAGCUAGGUCAUGCAGAAAGGGAUGCAGCUGGCAGAGGCUCAGGAGGCUUGAUGAAAGACACGUCAGAUUUCAGAGGAGGCUGGUCAGUGGGGAAGGCAUAACCCAAACAGUUAAAUGCCAGUGGCCAGGCUGCUGGGUUGGUACCAGAGUCAACUAAGAGGGCUCUAAGACCCUAGGGCUGUGGUGAGCCUUGGAAUACAUAAACUUUCUGGAAGGGGAUGACUCACAUUUGUUUUUAUCUGAGGGACUCCUCAGGAGCUUGCCAGGUUCAGGAACCACCAGGAGAAAAGGAAGUGGUGCUCCUGUCAUACUCCACUGAGCACCACAGUCCCCCCAUCACAGGCCAGAGCUCUUGACACACUGCCUGACCAGGAGUGGGGAAGCAAGUGUUUCUCUAGGAGGUGUACAAAGUUAGGAUUGAUCCCUGGAUACCCACACUCUCUGGUUCCCAAUGCCCAGGCCAGGCACAGUGACCCAGGAAGCAACCUUCCCUGGCCAGGUAUACCUCCUAUGCCUUCUUGCUCUGCCCUGUUCUACUUCACUGGGUCCCUGAUGUCCUCCUGUCUGGGGCAUGGGCUGGUGGUCUCUCUGAGUACUGCUCUCACCCAGCAAGGUCCCUAUCAUGGCCCUGGUCUCCUUCCAUAAGCUGCAAACUGUGUGCCCACCCUUCUUUUAGAAGGGUGCCCAGAAACUCCCUUACUUCUCAUUGUCCUCUGUUCAAAGGUCUCUUCCCAUAUCUCUGAUGUCCCCAUGUCUGUGAGCAUUAAGUAUACCCUGGAUACUGGAGGGCUUAGCCCCAACAGAACCUGCAUUGACCAGCUCCUCCUGCCUGCUGAGAGCUCUGGAGAUGGGCAGGGCACAGGUUGCCAGAAACGCUCAUAUCAGGCUGUUUGCAGUCCUGGCCCAAGGACUGGGGUGACAGGCGGGGUAGCUGAGGAUUGGGGACAUAGAGUGGCUGGCACACUCUGUUGCAGCCUCGUGACUCAGGCGCUCAGCACGUGGCAUAGCAGCACUCCUCUCCCGCCCCCAGCUUGAGAUGCCUCUGGGGGUGUACCAGGGGUUCUGGGGAGGGGAAACCCUCGGCCCGGGGAAACAGGGCCUGGAGAGAUAUUCUAGCAGACUGAGGCCCUGUGGCCACAUUCAGGGAAGCUCAGCCAUGUAGCACUGGGUGCCUUGGAAAGCGGACCACUACUCUGAAGAACGAGUCCUCCCAAGGCUUAGGGCUGGGCCCACAGUACCUGCUGCUUUGGGCAGCUGCCUCAAAUCCUCCCCCUCUUUCCUGCCAAGUGAAGGAAGGAAUGGAGCCUGCACUCCCCUGCCUCCCCCGCAGCUGGUCUGGCUAUUGCCUUUUCCCAAACCAGUGGUGGGGAAGGCUUGGUGCCACCUGCUCACCCAGAGCUUCGUUUGCUGCUAUCCGCACCCACCCCAUCCCAGCUCUUGGAGACAGCAGUGAGAAACAACAUGCCAGGAGACGGGGUCCACAGGGGCACUGCCAGCAAAAGUGCUUCAUCUCCCACCUCUGGGCAGGGUGUCCCUGCCCCUAGGCAACGUAGGGUUUCCUGAGCCCAUCUCUAGCUGGUUCAAAGGCCCCAGAUCCCUCCCAUCUACAGGUUUCCCUCUCAUCCCUAGGAGACAGGACUCACUUAUGUCUCCCAGAAGUGGUGGAGCUGGGGGGGCAAGAUUUUGUCCCAUGAAAGCCCCCAGCACUGGAUGUGGUGAGCUCAUAGGCCUAGCUGGGGUAGGGGAGCCAGGAGGCAGCAGGCACUGGGGCAGUGUCCUGGGGUCCUCUGCACUGCCUAUGUUUACAGCUAGGCCUUGAGCUUCCGUCCUUUCUAGGUGACCCCAGUCCAGCCAUGUGCACCUCUGGCCAGGUGAGCCAAGUUCCAUCAGGCCUCUGCCUGAGCCCUCAGUCUCAUGGUCCACUGCAGGCUUUCUGCUCUGAGGUUGCUGUCCAGCACUCUGUUAGAGGAGUGGGCUGGGAGAGACAGCCCUGUGUCCAACUGGGCACCAUGAAGGCCUGAGCCAACCCUGGUCAGUGGGCCCUGGGUUGUGGCAGGUGUGGGGGAGGGACUAAGAGAGGAGGGAGGUGAAGCGGCAACCGCCAUCUGCUCUUCCUGGGGAGGUGAGGCUGCCCAUGUGGAGGUUGGGAGGGGGCAGCAGAAGUGGCCGCCUGGCCAUGGGCUCCUGAGGCAGGGCCAUCUUUCCUUUUGGGGUGAUGGGCAGACAACUCUUCUCACCCAUCCAAACUCCCAGGAGACACAAGACCCCUUCCCAGCAAGUCUCCAGAUGUCCAGUUUGCCUUCUGAGGCCUCCAGCCUUUUCGAAGGCCGGGUUCCUUCUCCAGAGCCAAGAAGAUGCCAGCCCAUCCCCUCCCAGCUUCCUCUGGAGUGUUUCAGGUGCCAAUGACCCACAACCUGGUGGGGCUGUCGUCGGUGGGGAGCCACUGAGGCAAGAGGUUGCAGGAAGGCCUGGCAGGCCUGGAGGCCCAGCGGCAGCAGGGUGAGACCCGCAGCCUGGUCCCGCGCACACACCUUACCUGGGCCCGGGCUUCUGGUUCAUGCCACGCGGUCCUCUGGGCAACCUCCUGACAUGGGGAUCCCGGCACGGGCGUCGCCGAGUGUGGAGGCCGUCGAGGUUCUGGACUGGCCGGCAGGGCCCAGCCGCACCCCGCACCUCGCGCCUCGGCCUGGCUGGGCCCCUUCGGCUGUGCCUGAAGAGGAGCUCCCCGGUGGGAGAGGAUCAGCCACCCCGAGCCUCCCACCGGGGAGGCUGAGGCUACACCCAGAUAAAUAAGGCCGCUUUGCAGGGAGCCUUUGCGGGUGCCUCCUCACUCCCCUACCCUCCUCCCCGCGCUCCUCCGCGGCCGCUGCCGGCGCCGC